rnacentral:lncRNA from 1 species
AUUCUUUAAUGGGUGUCCUAAGUGUCUUAUGUUCAUUUUAUAAUUUUAAUUUUGGAUGUAACUCGUCUUCUGAUUGGCUGAGGUUAUUUUGUUUAUCAGGCCAUAGACAAAAUUUAGUCAUGUGACCGUGAUGUCAUUAAGGUUUUUUCAUGGUUUUCUCUUUGUUUCAAAAUUAAAUUUAGAAUUAAAUUAUAAGUAAUAACUGUGAUAUUUUUUCUUUCUAUUCGAAAUAACAUAAAAAAAGUGAUGCACACUGUUAGAUAACCCCCUACGCGCAUUAUUUAGUGUGCACCACAUUUUUUAUGUUAUUUCUUCAUAGAUAGAAAAAAAUAUUACAGUCAUUUCUUAAAUAAAUUAUGCUAUCUUUAAGAUUAUUAUUGAUACAUUAUUAAUAUCAAUUCUGUUUGAGAAUUUUUGGUUGUGACUAAUGAAAUGAUAUUUAUAAUGCUCUUGUAACAAUCUGAAAAGAAUUGACCUCUCUAAAAAUUGGUUAUAUAUUUCACAAAAAUAUUUGAGUUAAUACAUAAAUUGUUGUGAACAUCUAA